rnacentral:rRNA from 1 species
AUUGAACGCUGGCGGCAGGCCUAACACAUGCAAGUCGAGCGGAUGAAGGGAGCUUGCUCCUGGCUUCAGCGGCGGACGGGUGAGUAAUGCCUAGGAAUCUGCCUGGUCGUGGGGGAUAACGUCCGGAAACGGGCGCUAAUACCGCUUACGUCCUGAGGGUGAAAGUGGGGGAUCUUCGGACCUCACGCUAUCAGAUGAGCCUAGGUCGGAUUAGCUAGUUGGUGGGGUAAAGGCCUACCAAGGCGACGAUCCGUAACUGGUCUGAGAGGAUGAUCAGUCACACUGGAACUGAGACACGGUCCAGACUCCUACGGGAGGCAGCAGUAGGGAAUAUUGGGCAAUGGGCGAAAGCCUGAUCCAGCAAUGCCGCGUGUGUGAAGAAGGUCUUCGGAUUGUAAAGCACUUUAAGUUGGGAGGAAGGGCAGUAAGUUAAUACCUUGCUGUUUUGACGGUACCAACAGAAUAAGCACCGGCUAACUUCGUG